UACGUAGGGCGCAAGCGUUAUCCGGAAUUAUUGGGCGUAAAGAGCUCGUAGGCGGUUUGUCGCGUCUGCCGUGAAAGUCCGGGGCUCAACUCCGGAUCUGCGGUGGGUACGGGCAGACUAGAGUGCGGUAGGGGGAGACUGGAAUUCCUGGUGUAGCGGUGAAAUGCGCAGAUAUCAGGAGGAACACCGGUGGCGAAGGCGGGUCUCUGGGCCGUAACUGACGCUGGAGGAGCGAAAAGCCGUGGGGAGCGAACAGG
rnacentral:rRNA from 1 species